rnacentral:tRNA from 1 species
GCUUCCGUGGCUCAGUUGGUUAGAGCGCCAGUCUCAUAAUCUGGAGGUCACCAGUUCGACCCUGGUCGGGAGCA